rnacentral:tRNA from 1 species
GCCGGGGUGGCGGAAUGGCAGACGCGGGUGGCUCAAACCCACCUGACUCACAAGGUCGUGCGGGUUCGAAUCCCGCCCUCGGCA